AUUGCUUCUUUGGUCUAUUAAACUCUCUCAUUCUCUUUCCUAAAUUUACAACUCUCUCUCUCUCUCUCUUCACUUUUCUCCCAAUUUUUUUAAUCCUCAAAUUAGUCUUCUUCAACCCUAAUCCAUACCGUAUCUCUUAAAUUUUAAAAUAUUAACAGAUUCAUAGGCUAAUGAAAAUCCAUAUCUCUUCAACCCUUAUUCAUAUCUCUUUUUGACAUAUAUUCCCCCCUUUUAUUUUGUCAGGUUGAAGAGAUCUAAAUGUUUAAGGUGUGGACUUUUGUUCUUGAGGUUUAAUAUUUCUUAAACAAAAGGCAAUAACAAAUCUAAGGAAUGUUUAUAUACUGUAAAUUUUUGUUAUCUCUUUUAUUUUCUGGGUUAAAUAUCCUCUUUGAUUUUUAUUUUUUAUGUUUUUGAUUUGAUUUUCUCGGUUUUUUUGAUGAAGUUGUUGUGUGUUCUUGAUGUUUUGGAGUUUUGAAUGAAAAAGUACUUAGCAAUAAAGGCGAGGAUGAAUUUUUGGAAAAAGAUGAGAAUUUUUUUCUGAGUUAUUGGGAUGAAGUUGUUGUGUGUUUGUAAAAUUAUGGAUUUUGGGAUGAUUUUCUAGAAGAAAAAAAAAGAAUGAUUUAUGGGUAUCAUUAUGAAUUUGUUGCA